ensembl:lncRNA
CUCCGAUGGCAGCUCUCUCUGCUGCCUACUGCCAAGAAGUAGGUCAAAAACCUAUUUUUGUCUCUAUUCUUCCGCAGCCAGAUUACAGUCCUUGCACCCUUGUGGAGGAGGGGAAGCCGCUGUAUCGUGGCUGUGAGGCCAGACGCACCUGGCACGGUACGGGGAUGAGUAGGGCCACCUCCCCUGGGCUCCCUCUGCUGUCGGUGGCACCUCCCUGCUGGCGGCGGAGGGAACCGGGGGGAACUCAGCGCUAGCAUUACUCUGCGGUUAAGCGGGUAGGGUGAAUUUGGGCCAAAGCACGAGCAGCGUGCCAACCUCAUGCAGGAAGUGUGUAUCCAGGUAGGGUGAAUUUGGGCCAAAGCACAAGCAGCGUGCCAACCUCACGCAGGAAGUGUGUAUCCAACUAGGGCAGAAGGUUUUUGGGUUUGACCCAGAUCCCAGCAGCGUGGUUUGGCCUCGUCACGCUUGUACGGGUGCAGCCACGGAGGUGGCGAACGGGGCAUGCAGCAGGAGCAGCAACUAGGGGGUGAAACACAGGGAUAUGCAUCAUAAGGGCACAUUUGCUACUCCUAGGCUGAUAGCUACCUGUUCCUGCCUCUGUCCCCCAUGGGCUGAUGAUUUUAUCAGCUCUGCUUGCUAAUAUCCUUCUUUCCUCCCCACGUACCAACAACCCUUUUUUCUCAAAUUGUCCAGUUGAUUAACAUAAUUAAGUUAAACUCAGCAACUGUUUUCAACUUGCACUUACUUUGAAGUUAGCUAGAGGACACGUCAGCAAGCUGCCCCAAUUUUCCAGCUGGAAAUUAGAAAAAAAUAAAUAAUAAUAAAUUAAGCCAAAGAUACUAUCUCUCCUUAUAGACUUGCCUCAUUUGUAUCUUUGUCUUGAAUGCCAAACGUUCUUCUCAUUGACUCACCCCACUCCUGUUCACGCAAAGUGAAGAUAGGUACAUGGCUUUUGCCGUUCUGGAUUCCUGUGAGCUUUGGGAGAGGAGCGAUCCUGCUAUCUGGAAGGCUGCGUUUUGCCAGUGGUCUACAAAACACCGUUCUCAAAUGUCCGCACCGUCUGGGGACCUGGCAUCCAGCUUACGGAUGGGGAUUCACCCUGGCAGCAGCCAAGUCCCUGAGGAGAAGGAGGGAUGAAGCAAAGUCUGGAGGCAGUGGUGAGACAAUGAGCUGUAACUCCAGAGAAAUGUCUCCUAAGAGCCAGCCACACUGGGAGAUAAGCAGAGAGAGAUCCCAGGAGAGGAAGGACAUUGGCCAAACAGAGGAAACAAAAGGCAGAAAAGAAGAGGCUGUCUGGAAGUGCAAGUAUCCUGGGUCACAGGAUGUACUGAGCUAUUGUGUAAAGGACAUGCAAAACAGCUUCGCUUUGUCCCAAAGUUUCAGCGACUUCAAGAACUGAAAGAAGAAAAAGAAGAAAACAGCAUAAAGGAAGAGGCUUCCAGUGUGACUUUGUCAGAUCCAGACUCCAUAAAUCCUAGAAGCAGAAGAGGACUGGCAACCAUCCGGCCAUGCUUGCUCUUAUGUUAUUGAAUCAACAACCAUUUCCCUGCCAGCUGGACUGUAGAGCCAUCUGCAAUAUGAUCCCCAAAACCCUGAUAAGCAGAAAAAUUAGGCUGCAAUGAUAUAGCAAAACCAUUCUGAGGGCAGUAGGGAAAUGCAGGCUAGUGAUAAUAGACUCACAGAACAGGUAAUGUUAGCACCUGGGCUUUAUAAAAGUAACUGUCACACAGCAGUGCCACCCACACACGGCAGUGCAGAGUAGAGUAAGGCAUGGACAUGACCUUGGCAUAACACUAGAAUAUGCUCCGCUUCAGCAAGGGGGACUGUCCUCCCUUGUCUGGUAGACAAAGCCUCUUCUGCAGAGGUGGGUGGAUUCAGGGCUAAUUUUGUUUAGUCUUGAUGGAGUCAUUAAAUAAUGAACAGGCAAGCCUUCAAAGAAGAGGCAUUAAUACACCUAUAAAAACAGCACAGAAUGGAUCAACAGCCACAUCAAGGAAGGAAAGAACAUCCAAGAAAAGUGAAGAACGGCUUAUCUAAAUGGCGGAACCACUUAGCUGAGCACUGGAAAGAAGUUUCUCACCAUUAUCAGUGCUUCAGGACAGGCCAGCUCAUCUACCCGAAGUGAAAGUAUCCUGCGGGGGCCUGCGGCUAGGGCAUGGCCAGCAGUUUCGGGGGAGCAGGCUUUCUUAAAGACAAGCAAGGAAGAACUGUGCUCAAAAGCCUGAACAUUUAUCUUCCACAGUUUCAGAACCCUCCUUCAGCUUCCUGCUUUCAUUCUUGGGAUAGAGAGAUGCUGAAAGAUGCAUAAAAUAUCUUAGGGUAUUAAGCCAAUACAAAUCAAAAUGGAUCAAAGCCGGGAGCUGCUGUGUGUAGCACAGAACACUGCACUGACAAUUAAA